GCCGGCGUACCCCAACAGGCAGAGGGAACGCGUUUAGGGCGCGGAGAGUGUGGGUUCGACUCCCACCGCCGGCA
rnacentral:tRNA from 1 species